UACAGAGGGUGCGAGCGUUAAUCGGAAUUACUGGGCGUAAAGGGCGCGUAGGUGGUUUAUUAAGAUUGUUGUGAAAUCCCUGGGCUUAACCUAGGAACUGCAACGAUGACUGAUAAGCUUGAGUAUUGUAGAGGGUAGUGGAAUUUCCGGUGUAGCGGUGAAAUGCGUAGAGAUCGGAAGGAACACCAGUGGCGAAGGCGGCUACCUGGACAAAUACUGACACUGAGGCGCGAGAGCGUGGGGAGCAAACAGG
rnacentral:rRNA from 1 species